rnacentral:lncRNA from 10 species
UAAGGUCACCUCACCAAAGAGGCCCAUCAACAUGGAAGAAUAUUUCAGUGAAUCUUGACUCACCAAGCUCAGUGACUUUUCAUUGAAAAGGGAGAGCAGAUUACAUUAUCAAAAGCACCAAGUUGAAACAUUUGCAAGGUGAGGAAACUGAGCACUAAGACACUAAAUAACUUGCCCAGGGUCAUACGACAGACAUGAGAGGUUUAUAUCAGGCAGUCUCCACCCCUGUUCCGAAGUCAAGAGGCUGACUCGGGUUGCUACUUCUUGACAGACCGGACCCCAGAUCGCCGAAGACCAUUUGGACACACUUCUAUCAAAUCCUGGCGGUCUCCUUCUAACAGGGAGUGGGAUGCUGCUCUAAUGAUACCCCGAAAUGUGGAAGUGACCUUGAAACUGUUUAACAGGCAGAGGUUGGAACUGUUUGGAGGGCUCAGAAGAAGACAGGAAGAUGUGGGAACGUUUGGAACUUCCUAGAGACUUGUUGAAUGGCUUUGACCAAAAUACUGAUAGUCAUAUGAACAAUGAAGUACAGGCUGAGGUGUUUUCAGAUGGAAAUGA